ensembl:rRNA 5S_rRNA 5S ribosomal RNA
CAGCAUUUUUAUAUCCUUUGGAAUGUGCCCGAUCCCGUCUGAUCUCGGAAGCUAAGCAGGGUCAGGCCUGGUUGUGCUUGGAAGGGAACGUGGUCU